AGCGAACGCUGGCGGCAGGCCUAACACAUGCAAGUCGAACGAGCCUUCGGGCUAGUGGCGGACGGGUGAGUAACACGUGGGAACGUACCUCUAGGUUCGGAAUAACUCAGGGAAACUUGAGCUGAUACCGGAUGUGCCCUUCGGGGGAAAGAUUUAUCGCCUUUAGAGCGGCCCGCGUUAGAUUAGCUAGUUGGUGGGGUAAUGGCCCACCAAGGCUACGAUCUAUAGCUGGUCUGAGAGGAUGAUCAGCCACACUGGGACCGAGACACGGACCAGACUCCUACGGGAGGCAGCAGUGGGGAAUCUUGCGCAAUGGGCGAAAGCCUGACGCAGCCAUGCCGCGUGAAUGAUGAAGGUCUUAGGAUUGUAAAAUUCUUUUAGCAGGGACGAUAAUGACGGUACCUGCAGAAAAAGCCCCGGCUAACUUCGUGCCAGCAGCCGCAGUAA
rnacentral:rRNA from 1 species